rnacentral:rRNA from 1 species
GACGAACGCUGGCGGCGUGCUUAACACAUGCAAGUCGAACGGAAAGGCCCUGCUUUUGUGGGGUGCUCGAGUGGCGAACGGGUGAGUAACACGUGAGUAACCUGCCCUUGACUUUGGGAUAACUUCAGGAAACUGGGGCUAAUACCGGAUAGGAGCUCCUGCUGCAUGGUGGGGGUUGGAAAGUUUCGGCGGUUGGGGAUGGACUCGCGGCUUAUCAGCUUGUUGGUGGGGUAGUGGCUUACCAAGGCUUUGACGGGUAGCCGGCCUGAGAGGGUGACCGGCCACAUUGGGACUGAGAUGCGGCCGAGACUCCUACGGGAGGCAGCAGUGGAGAAUAUUGCACAAUGGGCGGAAGCCUGAUGCAGCAACGCCGCGUGCGGGAUGACGGCCUUCGGGUUGUAAACCGCUUGCGCCUGUGACGAAGCGUGAGUGGCGGUAAUGGGUAGAGGAGCACCGGCUAACUACG